AAAAAAAAAGAAACAAAAACUGGAAAUACAUUUUCCUUCUCUGUUCGUCCGUCUGAAGUCUGUAUGAAAAAUUCUCUUCACACAUUUUUCAGUGGUUGAGUGUCAUACCGUGUGUGCAGUAGUGCAAUAACAGCUGAUAGACAAAAAGGAAAAAAAAAUCGUGAAAUUUUGAUAAUUAUUACAAGCGAAGCGAACCAAAAGCAUAAAUUAAUAAAAUUAAACAAAUAUCUAACACGCACUCUUCUCCUAAUCUAAUUCAAUUGAUUUACCGUUAUUCUGGCUCAGAAACCAACUAAAAAACAAACAGAGUUUUAUGCUGUCUGCUGCACCACAAUACACAAUAAUUAUCCAGUCUUUCCUUCUUUCCAUUGUCUCAUCAAUCGCGCUGUUGUCUUGCUUAGAGCCUAUGGACUGCCUACCUACGGGGAAACAAAAAACAAAAGUGAACAUAUGAGUGAAAAGUUCUUAAGAAAAUAACUUUGUUAAUAAUUAAUUAAAGGAAAUUGCUUAAGGAUUUAUUGUUGUUUUAAAAUCACGACCACGGGAUUAAGGUGUGUUUUGUUUUAUUACCCCGAGCGCCGGGAAAAGUGUAAAGCAUCAAAAUCAAUUUUCACGAACAAAAAAAACCAAAAAAUAAUGUCAAGUGAUUGUGUUGGUAUCGGAGAAGUUUUCAUAUCCGCACACAAAUGUAUAAUAAUUAAAAGAGAGUGAGAAUUGACAGUUUAUUUUGACAUUUAGUUUGGUGUAAUAAUUUUUCCCCUUAAAAACGCCUAUUUUCUGUUCUCUUUGUAAAGAGCCUAAAGAGAGAGAGAAAUCAUUAUUGUUUGUGUUCGAUUUGGGAUUUCAGAUUGGGGAAAAAGUCAUUGUCCUUUUUUUUAGGCUUUGCAGCGAGGAUUUUCUUGUAAUUUCGAUUGUGUUCAAUAAACAAGGAUAAUAAAUUAAGUCCUCUUAAAAUUAAGGGGAAAAGUGCGGGAGAUACAAAAUUAAAAAACGAAUAUUGUUGAUAAAAGUGGUGUUUGGAGAGUUUUUCAUCCCGUAGUUUGUAACGGUGCAGUUGAACUUAAUUUAUGCAACUUUAGCAUCAUCAGUAAAUUGUCUAGCAUCCCUUUAUCCCGUUUAAAAUCUGUGUAAAAAAAAAAGAAAAAAAAAAAAAACAAAGCAAAUCAAAGAGAGUGAGAGAACUCUGCAGUGAAUAAAAAUUCAAAUAAAAAUAAAGAAAGUCUCCAAAAACAGGAGCUGCUGCUGCUGUUUGCAUUUCCCCUGCAUUUUUUUGUUUGUAACAGUUACAAAUUUUUAUGCGUACGUUGAUUUUAAAGUGAGAGAGAGGAGCAGAGGAGAGUUUGCCCUGUUUGUGUGUGUGUGUAUUUUGUGUAAUUUUAUUUUCGGGAGAGAAACUCGGGGAAAAUUUGAAUUUUCUUGUAACAGGAUCAUUCGCUCUCCGAAUCUAGAACCGAAGAAGACGCGUUUCUGUUGUACGGCUACGGGACACUGACCGUUAAAUUACCGGUGAACAAGCAAGAAAGAAAAAUACAUAAAUUGAUUACCUACCUAUCUACAUUGUUGUAAUUUCCAUUGGCUUGAGAUUUAAAUUUAGUGAAUUAGCCUAACUUCCCUCACUUAACUUCGCCCGGUGCGUGUUCGACGAGCUUUUUUAAGCAAAUGCUUAAUUAAUUAAAUGGAUGUGUGUGCAAUUUUUUGAAAAAAUAGAAAAAAAGGAAAAAUCAAAAUACCAAACCGAGUUGAAAUAUAUUUUGUUUUUUUUUGGGUUGAUAUCCUGUCGUUUAAUUUAGUUUGAUUUUAUUUUCUGUUUGUGCAAUUAGGUUUCUUGUUUUUGGUAUCCAUCGAGUCUCCAGAAGUGUCAGUUAAGUUAAGUGAAAAUUAGUUUGAGUUUUUCUCUUUUCCUUUUGUUGUUGAUUUAUUCAAAGUGAAAUUAAUAAAAAAGAAAAGGUGUGCAAUCACCAGUGUUAAAUUUUUUUUAAAUAAAAAUAAAAAAGUUAAUUAAUCAAAACUUCUAAAUAAGUAAAAUAAAUAAAGAAAUUAAAAGAGGAAAAAAUUAAAGAGAGUGUUUUUUAAAACACAUCGUUUUUAAAAUUUUAUGGAAUAUUGCUGAUGGCGGCCGUUGGUGGCCCCGCUAAGCAAUCCCGGGUUUCGAUGAGCGUUUCAAUGUCAUUGGUUCAAGGUGGCGCCGCCGGUGGAGCACCUCAGGGUGCUAUAUUAGCCGCUGCAGCUCCAUAUUAUCAACCUCCAGCUGUUCCACUCGAUGUUCAACCAGAUCGUCCAAUUGGUUAUGGUGCAUUUGGUGUCGUAUGGGCCGUCACAGAUCCAAGGGAUGGACGACGAGUUGCACUCAAAAAAUUACCAAACGUUUUCCAAUCGUUGGUAUCAUCAAAAAGAGUUUUCAGAGAACUGAAAAUGCUUUGUUUCUUUAAACAUGAAAAUGUACUCUCAGCAUUGGACAUAUUACAACCACCUCAUUUGGAUUUCUUCCAGGAAAUAUAUGUGAUAACUGAACUCCUACAGUCAGAUCUGCACAAGAUCAUCGUAUCGCCACAACACCUCUUAGCCGAUCACAUAAAAGUAUUUUUGUAUCAGAUAUUGCGUGGCCUAAAAUAUCUGCAUUCGGCCCGCAUUCUUCACAGAGACAUAAAGCCAGGAAAUUUGCUUGUAAAUAGCAAUUGUGUCUUGAAGAUAUGCGAUUUUGGUUUAGCUCGAGUCGAAGAACCAGAUCAAUCGAAACACAUGACUCAAGAAGUUGUCACACAAUAUUAUCGUGCUCCAGAAAUUUUAAUGGGUGCCCGUCAUUAUUCGGCAGCUGUUGAUGUCUGGUCGGUUGGUUGUAUUUUUGGUGAGCUAUUGGGUCGUCGUAUAUUGUUUCAGGCACAAAAUCCUGUACAACAAUUGGAGCUCAUAACCGAACUGCUAGGUACACCAUCAAUGGAAGAUAUGCGACAUGCGUGUGAAGGUGCCAGAACGCAUAUGUUGCGACGAGCUCCAAAGGCUCCAUCGUUUUCAGCUUUGUACACGCUAGGUUCACAUGCGACACAUGAAGCUGUGCAUUUACUUUGUCAGAUGUUGGUAUUUGAUCCUGACAAGAGAAUAUCAGUGACAGAUGCUUUGGGUCAUUCAUAUCUGGACGAAGGACGUCUAAGAUAUCAUUCGUGUAUGUGUAAAUGUUGUUUUAAUACCUCAUCUGGUAUGCGACAGUACACUGGAGAUUUUGAACCAUCAGCUGGACAGCCAUUCGAUGAUCUUUGGGAGAGGAAAUUAACGUCUGUGCAACAAGUUAAAGAGGAAAUGCACAAAUUUAUAGCGGAGCAACUACAAACCGGACGUGUUCCACUUUGUAUUAAUCCUCAAAGUGCUGCAUUCAAAAGUUUUGCGAGCCAAUGAGAUAAUCUACUAGUACCACUGCUGCUGUUGAUGUUGAUGCUGAAAUUUGAAUUGUUUAAUUAAUACAAAAAAUAAAGAAAUUAAACAAAAAAAAACUUACAUGAAUGUCUAUAGUCAACGUAAAAUAUUACAAACAAAACUAAAAUAAAUACAUAAAUAUUCAAAUAAUGAAGAAUAAAAAUACAUUUUAUACUGCACAAUAUAUUUAAACGUAAAUCAAAUAUAUAUAUAUAUAUAUGAAUAUAAAUGUCCUGCUGCCAUCUUUAAAUUGCAAAUUUCUACCAAUGGUUAUCAACAGUCAAGUUCAGUCUAAUUAAAAUUAAUAAACCAAAAUAAAGUUACUCUAUCUCUAUGUAUCUCUGUCACGAUCGAAUCAUCGAUAUACAUAUAUAAAUUAUUUCAUCCUCACGCGCAAUCAAUGGGCAUUCAGAUUAAAAACAGAAAUAGUUCCACCGUCGCCCAUCCUUCAGAACUGCCUCCAUCGCCACAUCAAUGGGAAUGACGGCAAAAUGAGGCGAUAGCUGCCUAAAAUAAAUUACUUUCUGCCAAAAUAAAAUAUUAUUUUAAUUCUUAACUUUAACAUUAAUAAUAACAAAGAAAACAAAAAAUUAACAAUUUAAACAAAAAAAACAAAAAAACAAUUCAUCGUUAUUAAGUUUAUAUAUCAAGAAAAUAAAAAUUGAUAAAUAAUUUAAAAACAAAUUAAUUGGACAACUUUAAAAUUGAAAAAUAAAAUUAAGUAAAAUAAAGAAAAAUCAUUCCACCAUGGUAUCGAAAGAGAAAACUACUACUCACAACACACUAGUCGCUGAAAAAUAUAUAAAGCAGAACUUAAGUUAUAUAAGAAUAACAACAAAUAAGGAACAAACAAAAGAAAAUUAAAACUUACCACUAAAUGGAGAAGCACAACAACAACAACAAAACUCUCACCCUCGAUCGAUCAUCUCGUAAUUUGUUUGCCAAAUUUACCUCAAAAAAAAAACAAAAAUAAAAAUAAAUUUUAAUAAUUUGUUAAAACAAUUAAAAAAUAAAUGAAAAAAAAAACAAAAAAAAACUUAAUUUUUAAAGGACUAAUAAACAAGUAAUCAAUUUUUAAACAAAACCAAAACAAAAAAAAAAACAUAUGUAUGUCGUCGUCUUUGUAUAAUAAAAACAAAUCACUAAGAAAAACUUUUAAUAACAUUAUAAUGUCCUAUCUAUAUAUAAAUAUAUAUAUUUAAUUUUUUUUCUUAUCGAAAAAAUAAUGUAAUACUUGAAGAAUUAAUUUCUUAUACAAAAACAAAAAACUAUAAAUAAAACUGUAAUGUAGUUAUAGUGGAACAAAAAAAUUAAAAUUAACAUGUUAAUUCUUCGUUAUUGUGAGGUGUCAGUAUAGUAAUAAUAAAUUAGUAACACAUUUGUAACUAUUAAACAUUAAAAAAGUACACACAAAAAAAAGAAGUUUUAAAUUAAGAGAAUUAAAAAAAAUUAACACAUUUUUGGCGAGAAUUAAAAAAAAAAAGUAAUUUUCAAUUAAAACAUGUAUUGUGUGAAAAGAAAACCACAAACAAAAUUAUUUACUAUGAUUUGGAAAAACAAAAAGAAAACAUUUUACUUAUCUAUGGACUGAUUUCGAUUUAGUUUUAAAUUUAAAUAAAACAAUUUUAAUAAAACUUAUGUAUGUAAUAACAAAACAUAAGAUAGAAAAUAUCUUAACCAAAAGAAAAAUGAAAAUUUAAAGAAAAGAAAACACAAUCUACGAUGUGUAUUUAUAUAUAUUUUUUUAUUAUAUAAAUGAUUCGUAUAUUUUUUACGUAUUUUCUUUUAUUUAUGUUAAUUUUAUUAUAAAAACAAAAUGCAAUUCAAUUUUGAUUUUGAAGGAACCAUUAUAAAUUUAAUAUUCUACAAAUUUUAAUUAUGUAAAACUUAUUGUUUGGUACUCAAAAAAAAUAAAUCUAAAGGAAAAACAAAACUAAAAUAAAUAAAAGUUGUCCUAAUAUACAAAAAUAAAAUAUUUAUUUUGCGUCUCCAAAUUUGAUUGAAGAAUUGAAACACAACAAAAAAAAACCUGCAUCAUGUUCAGGCUAUUCAAAAGUUUGUAAUUCGAGGUCGAAACAAUAAACUUCCCAAUUGUUCAUUUUUCUUGGAACUUCCUUAACUUGAGUAGCUUCAACAAACUAAAUAUUCCCAAUCCAAGUAUUGAAAUUAUGUAUUGACUUAUAAGAGUUAGUUUAGUUAGUUUUGUGUAACCUUAACUUUCCAUGUUUUUGGUGAAAAAUGUUGCUUGCACUUAAAACAAUGUAAAGAAUAAAUUAUACAACUAAGAUUGUUUGGUUAUAAUCAGUUAGGUUACAAACUCAACUGAAAGAAACUUAUUAAUAUUUUGUACCACAAAAACCUAAUUUUUGUUAUUAAAUCCAAACAAAGGUCCAUGAUGCGUUAUUCAACAACUUAGAUCUGAUUUAUUAAAGUUAUUAUUUUAUAGGAGACAAUGAAAUUUAAAUUUCAUUCUCGUGGCAAGUGAAACUGAACGAAAAGCUAAACUAUUAAAAUUUCCUUCAUUUUAUAUUGCUCAGUGAAAACGAUAAAACUAGCUUCGUUUCAUUUCUGUUUGAUUUGUGUCAAAAAAGAUUGGUAUUUAAAUAAAAUUUCAAAGUUUUUCAACAGAAAAUUUAUACUUUUUGCUUAGACGCUAUGAAAAUCAAAUCGAAUUCUAAUUAAAUUUCAAACUAACUAAGGUCAACCAAUUUUCCCAAGUCUAAAAUAUCUUAGAAUGAAAUUUCUUACUACUUUUAUCUUUCAAUAUUUAAAUUAAAAAUAUGUUUCUGGUUCCUCUUUAAAUCGCAUUAUAGAUAUAUUUUUAGUUAAAUUUAAUAUUUUCAUUUUUAUAAUAAAACAAAUUUGAAAACAAAAAAGAACUGUACAUUAUUACGUAAUCGUACUAAACAAAGUGGACACACUGCCCCAGUGAAAAAUUAUUUUUUAAGUAAACAAAAUUUACAUUUUUUUUCUAAGUUUUGAAAAAAAUAAACGAAAAGAAAAAUUUCUUUUUUUUUAAAUUUUAUAUUCUUUAAAAAAAACAAAUUUCAUCUAAUUUUGAAUAGCACAAGCAUUACAAAAAAUUUAAACAUUUUUAGAUUUUAAAAAGAGCUAAAACACAAUUAAAACAAAAAGAAAAAACUAAAAUUAAUAGAAAAUAAAAAUCAAUUAAACUAUUUUUAAGACUGAAUUUUAAUUGUUUGUGUUGGUUUUAUUAUUAUUAUUUUAUUUCUUUUUUUAAUUUUUAUAUUUUAGUCAUGAUUUUGAAUUUAAGAACGAAAAAAUUAAAUGAAAAGAUUUGUGUCUCUAAAUAUCUUAAGAAAAAAAGAAAAAUACCGAGACGAUUGAAAAGAAUAGUAAUUUGUGGGUAUAAAAUGUUUAUAAUAAUUAUACCAAUAAAUUAAUGUAAAAGAAAACAAAACUACAAUUUGACAUAUAAAUUUAUAACAUAAUAAUAAUAAUAAUUAAUUGAUUAUUACUUGUACCUAAAUAUAGUGUGUCUUAAAUGAUAAUAUUCAAAUGCUUACAUACAACACAAAAAUAAGAAAAAAACAAAAACAAUAAAAUAUAAUUUUCUUUUUUCUUACAUUGCUAAAAAAUCACUUCUUGUUGGUAGAAGUUUUUUUUUUAUAAAAUUAUUUUUCUAUUUCGUUUUUCUUCAAUCAAAAUUUCACAAAAAUUUCAUUGUUUAGUUUAUUUUUUCUUUUUAUAUUUAGAUAGUACAAAAUUUCGACUCUUAGUGUUUAUUUUAUAACUAUCAAUUUAUCUUAAAUGACAAAUAUGCAAGCAAGAUAAAAAAUAAUAAAAAUAUAUCAGAACUGAAUGUAACUUAACAUUUUUUUUAAAUUUAAAACAAUUAAAGCAAAAGAAAAAAUAAAUUUAAAAAAAUCUUCACCAAAUCAUCAUUCUCAUUGUACACUCGACAUUAAUAUUAAUCUCAAUACUUUAUGUGUAAAUAUAGCAAUUAAUAAAUAAAUGUAUUCAUACUCAUAAUUUUUAAAUACAAAUUUAAUAAAAUAAUAACAACAACUUAACAAAGAUAUGUAAGCAAAAAGAAAAACAAAACAAAAAACCGUUAAUUUCCAUUUGAAUUAUUUAAUUAAUAUCAAAACAAUGUAUAACUCAAUGCCUCAGAUUUAUUUAAAAAGAAAACAAACAAACAAGAAAAAACACUGUAAUAAUAUAUAUAUUUAUUUAAAUAAUAUAUUUAGCUAAUACAGAAAAAUUUACAUCUGAAAAUUUAAUAUUUUUUUUUGUUCUUAAUCAAUUAAUAAUUUGCAAAAUAAACUACAUAAAUACAUACAAUCGUAAAACAAAACACUUUUUAUCAAUCUUUCAUAUCGAUCUCAUUACAUGUGCUCUGUUUGGGAAAUUUUUUCACUUUCAAUUGUAUUUUAUUUUUUAACUAAAAUAAACAAAAAGUAAAAACUUUGUUGGAUCAAAAUUAUAUUAUGUAAAUAUAUGUAUCUACACAAUUUUUCUUCUUACAAAAACAAGCAUAAAAAACGUCAUUUAAACAAAUUGAAUACUUUCGUUAAGUGAUGCAAAUUUCUUACAGAGCCAUUAUAAAAUAUUAUUUUAAGUUUAAAUUUCUUUUUUUUUUUCAAAUAUCAAUUAAUUUUUAUAAUGCUCUUAACUUAAUGCUUAUAUAAGUCAUAAAUAUUUUUUGUAUAUAGUCUGUGUAAAAAAACAAUUAACUGAAAACAAAACAAACAAAAAAAAAUCUAGCUUCACACACAACCAACAAUUUAUAUAUGAUAUGAUAUAUAUUAAAUGUUUAACAAACAAAUUAAUUCUAUUUAAGUAUCAUUGGUCAUUUAUAUACAUAC